rnacentral:rRNA from 1 species
ACACAUGCAAGUCGAACGGAGCUUGAAGAGCUUGCUUUUCUUGACUUAGUGGCGAACGGGUGAGUAACGCGUGAGUAACCUGCCCUGGAGUGGGGGACAACAGUUGGAAACGACUGCUAAUACCGCAUAAGCCCACGGAUUCGCAUGGAUCUGCGGGAAAAGGAUUUAUUCGCUUCAGGAUGGACUAGCGUCCAAUUAGCUAGUUGGUGAGGUAACGGCCCACCAAGGCGACGAUGCAUAGCCGGCCUGAGAGGGCGGACGGCCACAUUGGGACUGAGACACGGCCCAAACUCCUACGGGAGGCAGCAGUAGGGAAUUUUCGUCAAUGGGGGGAACCCUGAACGAGCAAUGCCGCGUGAGUGAGGAAGGUCUUCGGAUCGUAAAGCUCUGUUGUAAGAGAAAAACGGCACUCAUAGGGAAUGAUGAGUGAGUGAUGGUAUCUUACCAGAAAGUCACGGCUAACUACGUGCCAGCAGCCGCGGUAAUACGUAGGUGGCGAGCGUUAUCCGGAAUGAUUGGGCGUAAAGGGUGCGUAGGUGGCAGAUCAAGUCUGGAGUAAAAGGUAUGGGCUCAACCCGUACUUGCUCUGGAAACUGAUCAGCUAGAGAACAGAAGAGGACGGCGGAACUCCAUGUGUGGCGGUAAAAUGCGUAGAUAUAUGGAAGAACACCGGUGGCGAAGGCGGCCGUCUGGUCUGGAUUCUGACACUGAAGCACGAAAGCGUGGGGAGCAAAUAGGAUUAGAUACCCUAGUAGUCCACGCCGUAAACGAUGAGAACUAGGUGUUGGGGGAAUAACACAGUGCCGCAGUUAACGCAAUAAGUUCUCCGCCUGGGGAGUAUGCACGCAAGUGUGAAACUCAAAGGAAUUGACGGGGGCCCGCACAAGCGGUGGAGUAUGUGGUUUAAUUCGAAGCAACGCGAAGAGCCUUACCAGGCCUUGACAUCCCUUGCAGAGGUAUAGAGAUAUAUCCGAGGUUAUCAAGGAGACAGGUGGUGCAUGGUUGUCGUCAGCUCGUGUCGUGAGAUGUUGGGUUAAGUCCCGCAACGAGCGCAACCCUUGUGAUAUGUUACUAACAUUGAGUUGAGGACUCAUAUCAGACUGCCGGUGAUAAACCGGAGGAAGGUGGGGAUGACGUCAAAUCAUCAUGCCCCUUAUGGCCUGGGCUACACACGUACUACAAUGGCGUCUACAAAGAGCGGCAAGCCUGUGAAGGCAAGCGAAUCUCAUAAAGGACGUCUCAGUUCGGAUUGAAGUCUGCAACCCGACUUCAUGAAGCUGGAAUCGCUAGUAAUCGCGAAUCAGCAUGUCGCGGUGAAUACGUUCUCGGGCCUUGCACUCACCGCCCGUCAA